CAUGCGGAUUAAUUCGAUGCAACGCGAAGAACCUUACCUGGGCUUGACAUGUUCCCGACGGCCGUAGAGAUACGGCUUCCCUUCGGGGCGGGUUCACAGGUGGUGCAUGGUCGUCGUCAGCUCGUGUCGUGAGAUGUUGGGUUAAGUCCCGCAACGAGCGCAACCCUCGCCCCGUGUUGCCAGCGGAUUGUGCCGGGAACUCACGGGGGACCGCCGGGGUUAACUCGGAGGAAGGUGGGGAUGACGUCAGAUCAUCAUGCCCCUUACGUCCAGGGCUUCACGCAUGCUACAAUGGCCGGUACAACGGGAUGCGACGCGGCGACGCGGAGCGGAUCCCUGAAAACCGGUCUCAGUUCGGAUCGCAGUCUGCAACUCGACUGCGUGAAGGCGGAGUCGCUAGUAAUCGCGAAUCAGCAACGUCGCGGUGAAUGCGUUCCCGGGCCUUGUACACACCGCCCGUCAAGUCAUGAAAGUGGGCAGCACCCGAAGCCGGUGGCCUAACCCCUUGUGGGAUGGAGCCC
rnacentral:rRNA from 1 species